UACGAAGGGGGCUAGCGUUGCUCGGAAUCACUGGGCGUAAGGCGCACGUAGGCGGCUUUUUAAGUCAGGGGUGAAAUCCUGGAGCUCAACUCCAGAACUGCCUUUGAUACUGAGAAGCUUGAGUCCGGGAGAGGUGAGUGGAACUGCGAGUGUAGAGGUGAAAUUCGUAGAUAUUCGCAAGAACACCAGUGGCGAAGGCGGCUCACUGGCCCGGUACUGACGCUGAGGUGCGAAAGCUAGGGGAGCGAACAGG
rnacentral:rRNA from 1 species